UGCCUGGGGUAGGGCAGGCUAAAUUUGCUGCUUUGUGGUGGAGACUUUCCCCAAGCUAAGAUCAGACCAGAUUUUGAGUACUGAAGCCUGAUACCUCAGUUUGCUUUUGAACUAUGAGACUGGUGACAGGAAUUACUAUUCUCCUCACUUUGGGUGUUGUGACUGAUUCCAAAGCCACACAGCCAAACUCAAUGGAAAGCACUGAAGACGAACCUGUACACUUGCCUUGUAACCACUCCACAAUCAGUGGAAAUGAAUUCAUAUAUUGGUACCGACAGAUUCCCCUCCAGGGUCCAGAGUACAUAAUUCAUGGUCUAAAAGACAAUGUGACCAACAGAAUGGCCUUUCUGGCCAUCCCUGCUGACAGAAAAUCUAGUACCUUGAUCCUGCCCCAUGCCAGCCUGAGAGACACUGGAGUAUACUACUGCAUCCUGAGAGACACACACUGGGACAGUUGUGGCUGCACCUGUGCAGUAUCUCCCUG